rnacentral:rRNA from 1 species
UACGUAGGGGGCUAGCGUUAUCCGGAAUUACUGGGCGUAAAGGGUGCGUAGGUGGUUUCUUAAGUCAGAGGUGAAAGGCUACGGCUCAACUGUAGUAAGCCUUUGAAACUGAGAAACUUGAGUGCAGGAGAGGAGAGUAGAAUUCCUAGUGUAGCGGUGAAAUGCGUAGAUAUUAGGAGGAAUACCAGUUGCGAAGGCGGCUCUCUGGACUGUAACUGACACUGAGGCACGAAAGCGUGGGGAGCAAACAGG